AUGCAGGGCCUGGUUAAGAUUGUUCAGAAAGUGCAGGUGAAAAGUCCCCUGAAAAUUCCAGUGGUCAGGGCCAUUGGAUGUCUGGACCCCAGAAGCAGGCACAGCGAUGCAGAAGGGUCCCUCACAAAGAUUAAGACUGUAGUACAAACAAUGCUGCAGGACAAGAAGUUGGCAGGAGGCGUCUCUGCUGGUGAUGUAAUCAUACAACAGUUCCAGAGCUUUCUCUCUCUUGAGGCGAGAGAUGAGAGAUUCUCCUCCUUCCAGCCACUGAAGGAGCGACUUGAUGUCUUCCUGCAUUCAGCCCUCAGCAAGUCUUAUCCAGAGCUAUAUAAGUUUUCUCAGAGCCUUCUACUUCUGUCCCACGGACAAGCCACGGUGGAAAGAGGGUUUUCCAUCAACAAGGAGGUUGAAACAUGCAACAUCCUUGAAAAGUCGAUGGAAGCUUUGAGGCUGAUAUGUGACAAGAUCAGUGUCUGUGGGGGUGUUUUGAAGGUACCUCUCACAAAGGAGCUCAUGGCUUCAGUAGCCUGUGCAAGGUCAAGGUACAGGAGUUACCUGGAAGAUGAACGGAAGAAGAAACAGAGUUCCACACAGGACCUCAAAAGAAAAGCAUUGCAAGAGGAGAUAGAAGACCUGAAACGGAAACGAACGGUUCUGACAGAGGUGUGCGACUCCCUCCAAACAGAUGCUGAUAAGUUAGCCGAGCAGGCAGAGGGGAAAUCUGGGACAUUAAUGGCACAACUGAUCACCCCCAAACAGAUGCUGAUAAGUUAGCCGAGCAGGCAGAGGGGAAAUCUGGGACAUCAAUGGCACAACUGAUCACGAAGUCCAACAUCCUUUAUAGUAAUUAUAGUAAGUGAAAGGGAAAUCUAUAGGGGUGGUUGGAUUUGAUCAUGCACAUUAAAAAAAUUAUUUUUCAGAUUUUUAUUUACAGCAUUAUUUUAAUAGGCUGAAUAUAAACUUAUUGGGAGAAAACUGGUAGUUCUUUGUGAAAUCAGACAUUUGAGCAUUUAUAGCCAAAAUGGCAUGAUUAUAACAGCCGCGAAUAAUCGACUGUGAGAUUGGUAGUCAAAUUGGGCUCCUCCUAUCGAAGCAUUGAAUCGUUGACUAUUCAGGGUGACCCCUAGUAAUAUCGCAGUGUUUUGCCAGAAUAUAACUUAACCUUGUGUUAAAACCAUUUUUAAUUAUGUACUCAAUAAUGCCUUCUGUUGUUGAAGUGGGAAAAAAUUUACACAAAACACAUUGGAUAUGGAUAUGUAUGUGAGUCAGCGUGUUUAGAACUGAAAUUUGAAAAUGCUGUAAAUGAAUUAUUUUAGUCUUUCAUUCAGUUUUCCAUUAAUCUCCCUCUCAAUCUCAAUCAACCAGUGGUCUCUCAUUGUCUCAUUUAGUCAUGCAUUACAUUCACACUCUGUCACUCUCUGUGUUUCUCUGCCAUCAAUAAAGAAUACAUUUAUGUUAAACAUUAAAAAAAGAUCCACCAAAAAAUAUAAGUGCCCUGGGAGACAGAGCUCUACUGGUGCCCCUUAGGGGACUGAUUUAAAAAAACAAUUAUAAAAAUAUUUAUAAAAAUAAUAUGAUUUAUAAAAAUAAAUGUUUAUUGAGCACCAAAACAGAAUAUUUGAAUAAUUUCUUUUUGAUUGUAUGACACAGAAGACUGGAGUAAUGGCUGCUGAAAAUUAAACAUCACAGUAAAACUGUUUUUUUAUUAUUAUUAUUAAAAUAGUUAUUUAAAAUUGUAAUAUUUCAUAAUGUUACUGCUUUAACUGUAUGUCUUAUUAAAUAAAAGUAGUUUUGGUGAGCAUAAGAGACUUGUUUCAAAAACAUUUACAAAUCUUAUCUAUCUUAAACUUUUGAACAGUUUUUUCUGCAUUUUUUACAUGGCCAUGAAUAAAUCAAGUAUUUCAAAAAGUAUUUGAAAUUUAUGACUCUUAAUUUUUUACUUCCACUUUCAACCUAUAAUUAUUUUGAAAGUGAUUUAAUAGUAAUAUUGCAGCAUUCUGCAGGUACAAAGUUUUAUUUGUUAAGGCCACAAAGGCCCUACACAGGUUUAUGUCCACAUUUCCCUUCAAAGUGUGGGCAUACUGUGAGGUCUGCUGGGGCCCUAGGUACACAUUUUUCAGCUGGGAUGCGACUUAGGACAAAUAGAGGGCAUACUUUUGGCCCACAGUAUUCCCACACUCUCCCCACUGUGCCCACACCCAGCCCACACUGUACCCACACUUCCACCAUUAUGCCCACACCCACCCCACACUGUACCCACACUUCCACCAUUAUCUGGAAUCUGGAGGAAGACUGGAGAGGCACAGAAUCCAAAGUCUAUUGUGGAUGUUUCCUGAAGUCAGUGAUGACUCGGGGUGCCGUGAUGUCUGCUGGUGUUGGUUCAUUGAGUUUUAUCAAGUCAAAAGUCAAUGCAGCCGUCUACCAGGAGAUUUUGGAGCACUGUAUGCUUCCAUCUGCUGACAAGCUUUAUAGAGAUACUGAUUUCAUUUUGCAGCAGGACUUUAGCACCUACCCACAGUGCCAAAACCACUUCCAAGUGGUUUGCUGACCAUGAUAUUACUGUGCUUGAUUGGCCAGCCAACUCACCUGACCUGAACCUCACAGAGAAUCUAGUGGGGUAUUGUAGAAGAAGGAAGAUAAGUAGCGUCUAGGGGGUAUUGUGAAGAGGAAGAUAAGUAGCGUCUGAAAAACAAUACAGAGGAGCUGAAGGCCGCAAUCAAAGCAACCUGGGCUUCAAUAACGCCUCAGCAGUGCCACAGGUGUCAGGGUUCAGGUAAAGGGGUGAGGCAAGGACUCAGUGAUGCAGAGAGAAGGGCUCUUUAAUAAUAAAAAAUAAGAUAAACAAACAAAAACUACCCCGUAGGGGAAACAGACAAAACUUGACUGGCAAGGCAAGGCAAGGCACGAGAAACACAGACAAAUAUUUGACGACGAACUAACAACCAGACUGCAAACACAAUGAGAAUAAAUAGGGAGCUAAUGAGGAGGGUAACGAGGGAACACAUGUGGGGAAAAUUACAUCAAUAAUCAGGUAACAAGAUGGGUGGGGUCAAGACAACUGACGAGGGCACAUGGCACAUCGGAACCAAGACAAAAGCCAUGUGCUUACACAAAACAAAAACACAAGCACAUGGCCAGCAAACCAAUCACAAGCCAUGUGCUUGAACUAGACACAAACACGCAGCUAAUGAGCAAACUCAUAAGCCGCGUGUUCACACAAGACAGCACGCAGCCAGCGAAAACCAGCCGACGAACUAACAACCAGACUGCAAACACAAUGAGAAUAAAUAGGGAGCUAAUGAGGAGGGUAACGAGGGAACACAUGUGGGGAAAAUUACAUCAAUAAUCAGGUAACAAGAUGGGUGGGGUCAAGACAACUGACGAGGGCACAUGGCACAUCGGAACCAAGACAAAAGCCAUGUGCUUACACAAAACAAAAACACAAGCACAUGGCCAGCAAACCAAUCACAAGCCAUGUGCUUGAACUAGACACAAACACGCAGCUAAUGAGCAAACUCAUAAGCCGCGUGUUCACACAAGACAGCACGCAGCCAGCGAAAACCAAGCUACGUGCAACAGCUCAAGACAAAAUAUAACAAGAAAGCACGCAGCCGAUAACUCCAGCUGCGUGCAACAAUACAAGACAACACUGUAGACCGCACGCUCCCACAACAAGACAGAACAUGGAACGCGAGUGUCCGGUCCCCGACACGAAACCGAAACUCAGCAAGACAUGAGUGCCGGGAUCCCGAACACCACGCUCCAACAUGAAACAGGACACGCAGACGAGAGCACACGGCUCGAGCAGUCUCGAAGCUGCAAUUACGCCCUUGAUGAGCCUCUCAGCUGGUGGAGUAUGAGGGGGCUGGACCACCUGUCGUUUGGGGAAUUUGUGGAGUUCGUGGCACGUUCCCCAGCUAAGGAGGCUUCAGUGCUGCCUGUGGUGCCUGUCAUAGCGGCAGUGCCCCCUGAGGUGACUUGUGACACUGCAGAACCCCUAGAGGUGGCCGAAGAGACUGCAGCACCUCACUUUCGUAGACGGAGGAGGGGAAGGAAGAGGAAUGGCUCUGCCCUGCCGCCCCCAGAGGUGCCUGAUGAGCAAACUCAUAAGCCGCGUGUUCACACAAGACAGCACGCAGCCAGCGAAAACCAAGCUGCGUGCAACAGCACAAGACAAAAUAUAACAAGAAAGCACGCAGCCGAUAACUCCAGCUGCGUGCAACAAUACAAGACAACACUGUAGACCACACGCUCCCACAACAAGACAGAACAUGGAACGCGAGUGUCCGGUCCUCGACACGAAACCGAAACUCAGCAAGACAUGAGUGCCGGGAUCCGAACACCACGCUCCAACAUGAAACAGGACACGCAGACGAGAGCACACGGCUCGAGCAGUCUCGAAGCCGCGGCCUCACAUUAAAACAGUGACAUGACGUGAGUGUCAGGGCUCUGUCACAAAACCAUGAAUGACACUAGACAGAAGUGACAGAACCCUGACAACAGGCUGAUCGCCUCCAUGCCACGCCUCACUGAAGCAGUAAUUUGUGCAAAAGGAGCCCCAACCAAGUAUUGAGUGCAUAAUUAAACCUACUUUGGAGAUCUGGAAUAUUUCGGUUUUGUAAAUCUUCUUCUUCUUCUUCUUUUCUUUUUUUUUUUUUUUUAUUUGAUCUUUGUAGAAAAUAAUUCUUACACUGUAAGUAAUAACCAAUCAGAAUUAAACAAAAAAACUACUAGAAAUAUUUCAAUUUGUGUGCAAUGAACAAAAAAUAAAGAACUUUUCCAUGAUAUUCAGUUUUUUUUAGAUGUACCUGUACAUUUAUUCAUUUUGCAGAUGCAUUUAUCCAAAGCGACUUACAAUUGGGGAUACAUAAAGCGAUUUUUCUUAAAGAGGCAAACAGGCACUGGAAGUGCCUGUAAUACCAAGUUUUA
rnacentral:lncRNA from 1 species